rnacentral:rRNA from 1 species
AUGCAUGUAUCGAUUGGAAUUAACCUUGCUUCGUUCGGCACGAGGGCCAGGGUAAUUGGGCCUAUCUCCGUACUCUCACUCCAUCAGGCUAUGUUUGGCUGGAUGGGCGAGAAUAUUUGGCCAGCUUUCGAACCAAGAUUAUUAAGGGCUAACCCAGUUUUAUGUUGCAACUUGGGUGCCAGCUCAACUGGUUGUUGUUGUAGUGUAAGAACGGAAGGUUGUAAGUUCGAAUCUCAGGACAAAAUUACUUUUUGCUAUUAUAGAAUAGAUGACGGGUUAAUUAACAGAAUUAUUUUUCGCAGGUAUAUAUAUAAUAGAUGGCAGCUUAAUUAA